rnacentral:rRNA from 1 species
UACGGAGGGUGCGAGCGUUGUCCGGAAUCACUGGGCGUAAAGGGCGCGUAGGCGGCGCGGAUAGUCGGCGGUGAAAGCCCGGAGCUCAACUCCGGGUCGGCCGUCGAUACUUCCGGGCUUGAGCACUGUAGAGGCAGAUGGAAUUCCUGGUGUAGCGGUGAAAUGCGCAGAUAUCAGGAGGAACACCGGUGGCGAAGGCGGAUCUCUGGGCCGGCACUGACGCUGAGGAGCGAAAGCGUGGGGAGCGAACAGG